CCUACGGGAGGCAGCAGUGAGGAAUAUUGGUCAAUGGACGCAAGUCUGAACCAGCCAUGCCGCGUGCAGGAGGACGGCUCUAUGAGUUGUAAACUGCUUUUGUACGAGGGUAAACGCAGAUACGCGUAUCUGUCUGAAAGUAUCGUACGAAUAAGGAUCGGCUAACUCCGUGCCAGCAGCCGCGGUAAUACGGAGGAUUCAAGCGUUAUCCGGAUUUAUUGGGUUUAAAGGGUGCGUAGGCGGUCGGAUAAGUUAGAGGUGAAAUCCCGAGGCUCAACUUCGGAAUUGCCUCUGAUACUGUUAGGCUAGAGAGUAGUUGCGGUAGGCGGAAUGUAUGGUGUAGCGGUGAAAUGCGUAGAGAUCAUACAGAACACCGAUUGCGAAGGCAGCUUACCAAGCUACGUCUGACGUUGAGGCACGAAAGCGUGGGGAGCAAACAGGAUUAGAUACCCGAGUAGUC
rnacentral:rRNA from 1 species